GUAAUAAUAGCUUAAUUUAUUAAAGCAAUGAUUUUGUAAUUCAUAGAUUGAUUUAUAUCUUAUUACU
rnacentral:tRNA from 1 species